rnacentral:lncRNA from 1 species
CUAUAGUUACAGUAUUUAAGGCCCUUUAAAAAUUUAUCAUAAAUCAAAUUUUAUGAUGAUUUUAAUUAAUCCUUCCGAUAUAUCUUAUAUAUCGUGAUGACAAUUGUUGAUGAGUUAAAUCGUAGAUAUCAAAAAAAUAAAGCUACAACAUAUAUUUCUCUUAAUGAUUUAGUAUCUUUUGUAUUCACCUGUUUUCAGUCAAGACUAGGCCUAUAUUUCUAUGACGAAAAGGGACUUCGUGGGGAGUCACGGCAACCCUAUGCUCGACCUCUGGGUGUUUUAUUGUCCUCGAGACAUCGCCAGGCACGUGAGUUGCGUACGAGAUUGCGGUUUUUACCUAUUGUCUGGUACUUGUCGACCUUUCACCCCGCCCUCUUCCCUACGGGUCACGAGGUCAACAUCGCUACAAAAUAGGGGGUGUAAUUUACUAUCCGGUUUCCUGUUUUUAAUUCUCCCUGUCCCUCUCAUUCCCCGGUUUACCUGCUCUAUGGAAUGUUGUUCUGGUAGCUCCUAAAGGAAGGCUUCUUCACAAUAUAAAAUACAUAUCAUCAAAAAAUAUCUCCAAGGAAUGUUUUUCUUCAUCUGUAAAAAAAAAAAAAAAAUUCUCAGAAACCAUCUUAAUUUAUCUUAAUUCUUAACAUUUAUGGAUUAAAUUUUAAAUAAUAUAGUUUAAAUCAUCGAAGAAUCCUUGAGCUUAUUAUUAUGUAAUUUUGGAAUUUUGAUAAAUUUAGAAUUUUUUUUUAUAAAAAAUAAUUUCCU